rnacentral:lncRNA from 1 species
UCCUACUGUGCUGGGCACGGCCUGUCCAGAUGUGCAGGGAAAGGCCCCGGCUGCUGAAUCCCAGGGGAAGGCUGAGGAAAUGCACCCACCUUGUCCUGCCUGCAGCAUCUCCUUCAGCAUUUGCCUCAUGUUUUCGGAUGGCUCACGGGGGUUUCUUGUGUCCUGUAGCUUUGUUCUUUCCUUUCGGAGGACCUUAGAGCAAAACAAUGCCAUUCCUCAGGAAUGGAUCCCACAAAACCCGUGCUCAGCCUGUGGGAUCAGCAGGAACACACUACUCACCCCUGUGAUGGGAGCUGGGCUUGCGAACAAUAACCAGCAAAGGAGCUGGAGAAGCCCUCCCUGCAGCCACAGCUGUAACUCAAGAGCCACAGAAGCUUCUACCAUCUCUGCAGAUCUGCACGGGCAGCACUGAGCCACAGGAGCGGUGAGGGGAUGGCCCAGGGCGAGGGCAAACACAUGCAUGGUUCUGUCCUGGCACCUGCAGCGAUGCCCCCCUGGCCGAGCUUUGGGCUCUGAGCUGGCAGCUCUCGCAGGGGGAAAGGCCUUGACCUACCCUCAGCAUCUCCCAGAGCCUCCAUCCUGAACGUGGGUUGGGAAGCCAGAUCACUUUCACCAGCAGGGUUAUCUGCAGGACAGAACAGCUCCCGUGGCAAUGUAGGAGAUCCUCAGGCUGCACCCAAGGCUCAGCCCUGGGGCACAGCCCUGGGCUCGGCCCCUUCCCUCUCUGCUCUUCUCUGGGGCUGCACAGAUCACACAGAAGGACACUCUGGCAUUGCACACAGGAACAAAACUGACAGCUAAAUGCUCCUUCCUCCCACUGACAGUGAUCCUGUGGGAUCACUCAGGGCUCCAGAAAGGGAGCAGGGCGAGGCUUCCAGAUUCCUUCAACCCUGGGAUGAUGUUAAGGGAAGUGGAAGAUGGGUGAGCUCUUGUCACACUGACUCUGAUUUUUGUCUCAGGAAAGGCACAUUCAAAACUUGCCUCCAACAUCAUCCAAGAACUUCAAGCCAUUUUCCAGCACGGCUUCCAAAUAAUCGAGGUUGCCAUCCAAAUCUAGAAGUGAGCACAGGCCCUGGCAACAUCCAUGGAUGGGCAGCUGGAGGAGCCUGGGGCCCUGGGGGUUCUCUUCCUCCCACAGAGGAAACCCUCCCUAAAGCCCAGGGGAAAACUGCAGCAGGCAGCUCCACAGGUAUCCCUCCCUCCCAAUGUCCCUCCUGCCCUCUUACUGUUGGGACAAAUCCCUCAGCCCAAGGGCACAUAGCCAGGCCCUCUCAGGACACCCUGGAGCCUUGCUCUCCCCCUCUGCCCUUUCCCCACCACGGGCACCCCGUGCAGUCGCUCCCAGGUCUCAGGACGUGUCUCCCACAGAGGAAGCCCAGCAGGACUGCUCAGUACCCGAGUGCCCUGAGCAUAAUAAUUCCUCUGGGCUGUGCCGGCCUUGUCCGGGCUGUGCCCGCACUGCCAAGCAGCAGAGAGGGCAGCUCAAGGCUCAGCAGGGCUCAGGCCCAGAGGCACAGCAAUUUCCUCCUGGGACUGUGCCUGGCAGCGCCUCCCUUCCUGCAGCAGAGACUGGCACAGAAUCACUGCUUCCUCUGGGAAAUGCUUCCUUCUGCACAGGCUCUCAUUUCAUUUCUGGAGAAUAGAAAAGAGACAGCUGGAUAAGAUGGAAACAUUCUGCAUGGGGAAUGGGGAAGGUAACAUCUUGAGGAGGGAAUAUUUUUGAAAGGUAUGGAUAAGCAUCGGAAAACACUCAGGAUGUUGGGACUGCCCUAUGCUGGUCCCUUCUCCAAACAG